rnacentral:sRNA from 1 species
AGUUCCUCUCGCAGGAAUUGAAUGGGAAACCUGAAGCAAGUUCCACUUUUGGACAUGGCUAUGUAAUGUAUCCUUUCGAAAUUCCCAGUCGUAAGCAGAUGUGUCUUGCUGAAUCAGGGCUCUCUUAUCCCUGCCAUCGACUUACAGUGGGAAGAAGAUCUUCACCUGCACAGACCCGGGAACAGUCAGAAGAACAAAGCACCGAUGUUCAUAUGGUUAGUGAUAGCGAUGGAGAUGACUUUGAAGAUGCUACAGAAUUUGGGGUGGAUGAUGGAGAAGUAUUUGGCAUGGCGUCAUCUGCCUUGAGAAAAUCUCCAAUGAUGCCAGAAAACGCAGAAAAUGAAGGAGAUGCCUUAUUACAAUUUACAGCAGAGUUUUCUUCAAGAUAUGGUGAUUGCCAUCCUGUAUUUUUUAUUGGCUCAUUAGAAGCUGCUUUUCAAGAGGCCUUCUAUGUGAAAGCCCGAGAUAGAAAGCUUCUUGCUAUCUACCUCCACCAUGAUGAAAGUGUGUUAACCAACGUGUUCUGCUCACAAAUGCUUUGUGCUGAAUCCAUUGUUUCUUAUCUGAGUCAAAAUUUUAUAACCUGGGCUUGGGAUCUGACAAAGGACUCCAACAGAGCAAGAUUUCUCACUAUGUGCAAUAGACACUUUGGCAGUGUUGUGGCACAAACCAUUCGGACUCAAAAAACAGAUCAGUUUCCGCUUUUCCUGAUUAUUAUGGGAAAGCGAUCAUCUAAUGAAGUGUUGAAUGUGAUACAAG